rnacentral:lncRNA from 1 species
GGCAGCUAGACAGUUUUGCCUAGAUCUGGGCGGCCACGAGGCCAUACAUUGAAUGUUCUGGGAUGCCUAUGCCCUGAGCCAGCCAGAAAGGGACACACAGCUGAAAACAGGAUUUGAGUGACUUAGACUCUGUAUAAACACUGAGGGUUUCUGGGAAAUGUACAUGAGGCCAGACUGUCGGGAAAGG